CAUGCCUUCUAAGGCCAAGUUCCAAGUUUCUCUAGCAACAAAAUUCCAUCAGAAUCAUAGCAGCUUCCAGUCAGAUCCAAAUGCUAAUAACCAACUCCAAAAUUACUUUUUAUCAUUCUCAAAUCUGCUUUAUUUUUUUGCUUCUUUUCCCAAUGUCUCAUCUCUCUGUUAAUUUACUGGUGGCUACUCUGACUUUUCAGGCUCAAGAAAGCCACACAUCUUAAUCUGACCAUUAUAUCAAUGUGUAGCCACUCGGCUACACGUAAGACUGAGAAGUCUUAUGGGGUCUUUUUUGCUCAAAGCCUUCUUAAAAUCCAUCUUUUAUUUUUGAGAGUUUAAAAACAGUCAUUUUUUCCAAUUCUGAAUUUCUGGUUAUUAUUUUCUUUCACUCCUGUAAACCAAACAAUAGUUUCCUAAACUCAUCUCUUCCUUGACUACAUUUGGCAAGGUAAUGCAAUUACAAUGAACACACACUACUAACAACUUCUUUUCUUAAACCUUCAAUCUUGGUAGAAACAUGAAAUGGCCUCCAAGUUGCCAAAGUGAGUGCUUCAAGUUUUUGCUAUAUGGGCCAAAAAGAUCUGGCCAGAGAAGAGGCAAAGAGAGGAAAAAAGGAAGAAGGAAAAAAGGAAAGACAGGAGGAAAAAGAGAGGCGGAAAAAUAGAGGAAUUACGGCAGUACAUACACCACAAUGUUAACAGUGGUUAUCUCUGGUUGAAGAGAUUAUGAGUCAUCUUCAUAUUUUUCUUUAUACACCUUUCUGUAUUUUGGAGAUUGUCCUUAAAAACUGUGCUUCCUUUUUCAUGAGAGAGAGAAAAAAAGUUGUUUUGAAAAUGUCUUUAAUGAUAUUCUGAAAGAACUCUAAGCCCUUCAUUAUGUGGUUCAUACACCUCCUGCCACACCCCAUACCCUUGUAUCUUUUCAUAUCUGUACCUCUGCACAAGCAGCUAUCUCUUCCUAGAACAUUAUCCCCAUUUACCUGCACCUGGCUAAU
rnacentral:lncRNA from 1 species